rnacentral:lncRNA from 1 species
UUAACUGAAAGGCUAAUGACUGUCUCAGAAGCACAUGCUGUUGCUAGGGAACUCAAGCUCGUCCUGCUUUCUAAUCACUCGUAUGUUAUGUGGAAAUCAAACUUCUCAGGGUGCUAUUAAAAUGAAUGGCAUUUGGUUAAAGGAGUUCUCGCUUGUGUUGGAGCAUCCUGAAUUAUUAUCGACUCCCUCACACCCACAUAUCUUGUUUUCCUAAUUUGAUUUCUGUAUGUGCGUCACCACCAGGGACACGCAGCCUAGACCAGUCAGGUUCACUUCCUGUUUCUCAGAACUGGUUUAUAUUUGUCUCGUAGCUUUAGCUGGUAAAAUAUUAUCAAACUGAUACUCUUGGAAAGAAAUCUGUGCUUGCUGUGAAAACCAAUUAUCCCAAUUAAAUUCUAAUUCCCAUAGAAAAUGUCAUAAUUUGAGGAAUAAGGUAUACUGCCAGUUGCCAUUUGAGAAAACCAUUCUUGAAAUGUAAAGCCUAGAAAAACCCAUCAUCUUUAUUUCUUUUACCCAGAAUCUUCAUUCCUCAGCAUUAGAACUAAAACAAACUCAAUUUGAGGGCAGAUUUAAGUAUGAUAUUUCUAAAAUAAAGCUC